GAGAAAGACAUAGUGGUUAUGAAAUUGGCUUGAAACCAAUUCUAGGGGGUUCGAAUCCUUCCUUUCUUA
rnacentral:tRNA from 2 species